rnacentral:rRNA from 1 species
AAAUUGAAGAGUUUGAUCAUGGCUCAGAUUGAACGCUGGCGGCAGGCCUAACACAUGCAAGUCGAACGGUAACAGGAAGCAGCUUGCUGCUUCGCUGACGAGUGGCGGACGGGUGAGUAAUGUCUGGGAAACUGCCUGAUGGAGGGGGAUAACUACUGGAAACGGUGGCUAAUACCGCAUAACGUCGCAAGACCAAAGAGGGGGACCUUCGGGCCUCUUGCCAUCAGAUGUGCCCAGAUGGGAUUAGCUUGUUGGUGAGGUAACGGCUCACCAAGGCGACGAUCCCUAGCUGGUCUGAGAGGAUGACCAGCCACCACACUGGAACUGAGACACGGUCCAGACUCCUACGGGAGGCAGCAGUGGGGAAUAUUGCACAAUGGGCGCAAGCCUGAUGCAGCCAUGCCGCGUGUAUGAAGAAGGCCUUCGGGUUGUAAAGUACUUUCAGCGGGGAGGAAGGUGUUGUGGUUAAUAACCGCAGCAAUUGACGUUACCCGCAGAAGAAGCACCGGCUAACUCCGUGCCAGCAGCCGCGGUAAUACGGAGGGUGCAAGCGUUAAUCGGAAUUACUGGGCGUAAAGCGCACGCAGGCGGUCUGUCAAGUCGGAUGUGAAAUCCCCGGGCUCAACCUGGGAACUGCAUUCGAAACUGGCAGGCUUGAGUCUUGUAGAGGGGGGUAGAAUUCCAGGUGUAGCGGUGAAAUGCGUAGAGAUCUGGAGGAAUACCGGUGGCGAAGGCGGCCCCCUGGACAAAGACUGACGCUCAGGUGCGAAAGCGUGGGGAGCAAACAGGAUUAGAUACCCUGGUAGUCCACGCCGUAAACGAUGUCUACUUGGAGGUUGUGCCCUUGAGGCGUGGCUUCCGGAGCUAACGCGUUAAGUAGACCGCCUGGGGAGUACGGCCGCAAGGUUAAAACUCAAAUGAAUUGACGGGGGCCCGCACAAGCGGUGGAGCAUGUGGUUUAAUUCGAUGCAACGCGAAGAACCUUACCUGGUCUUGACAUCCACAGAAGAAUCCAGAGAUGGAUUUGUGCCUUCGGGAACUGUGAGACAGGUGCUGCAUGGCUGUCGUCAGCUCGUGUUGUGAAAUGUUGGGUUAAGUCCCGCAACGAGCGCAACCCUUAUCCUUUGUUGCCAGCGGUUAGGCCGGGAACUCAAAGGAGACUGCCAGUGAUAAACUGGAGGAAGGUGGGGAUGACGUCAAGUCAUCAUGGCCCUUACGACCAGGGCUACACACGUGCUACAAUGGCGCAUACAAAGAGAAGCGACCUCGCGAGAGCAAGCGGACCUCAUAAAGUGCGUCGUAGUCCGGAUUGGAGUCUGCAACUCGACUCCAUGAAGUCGGAAUCGCUAGUAAUCGUGGAUCAGAAUGCCACGGUGAAUACGUUCCCGGGCCUUGUACACACCGCCCGUCACACCAUGGGAGUGGGUUGCAAAAGAAGUAGGUAGCUUAACCUUCGGGAGGGCGCUUACCACUUUGUGAUUCAUGACUGGGGUGAAGUCGUAACAAGGUAACCGUAGGGGAACCUGCGGUUGGAUCACCUCCUUA